AAAAUACAGAGCUGAUAGUGCUCUACUAAGGGCUGUGUUUCCUGUCAGGUGGCUUUAUCGUCCUGGUUUUGUAAUCAGUGUGAAAGGGAAAGUGGUCCAUUUCUAAAAUGAGAGGAAUACGCUGCAGAACAAGCUCACCAGGAAGAAAACAGUUGCUUCAGUCGUGUCUGGCUGACCCUAUGGACUGUAGCCCUCCAGGCUCCUCUGUCCAUGGGAUUCUCCAGUAGGUUUUCUUGGAGGCUGAAUCCACCUUGAGUGUGAAUUCUACUCUCAGAUAAGGCGAUGUGGGAAAGAAAAUCCAGCCAAUGGAAGAGGGUAACAAAGACCACCCCCCGCCCCACUCCACCGCCGUGGGAAGAAAUUCUCAUCACUAAUGGAGAAGGUGAAGGGCCAGGCCAAGCAAUGUAGGAGAAGAAUUUCCUUUUCCCAUGAACUCUGCCUUUGGCAGCAAGGAUUUCUAGAUUGGAAGAAGGGGUGGAGGGCCAAAGAUGGCCAGGGCUUUCCCUGGUUCAAAGAUUUCUGCAACAAGAACAGACAUGUACUGCUCAGUGCUCCAUUUCUUCUCAAAUAAAAUAAUUAAAAUUUUGAGUUUUGCCAAAGUUAUACAAACAAAACUUAACUAGUUCUACAAGUGGGGAUGGUUUAGUCACUUAGUUGAG
ensembl:lncRNA